GGGUCAUGUCACGUUGAAACACCGGUUGCUGUAUGAUCACCGAAGUUAAGAAAUGUCAAGCCUGGUUAGUACCUAGGUGGUUGACCGCUUGGGAAUACCAGGUACUGUAA